rnacentral:tRNA from 1 species
GUUUAUCUAGCUCAGUUGGUAGAGCGCAAGACUCUUAACCUUGUGGUUGUGGGUUCGAGUCCUAUGGUGGACA